rnacentral:rRNA from 1 species
AGAGUUUGAUCCUGGCUCAGGAUGAACGCUAGCGACAGGCCUAACACAUGCAAGUCGAGGGGCAUCAGGUAUCAGCUUGCUGAUACGCUGGCGACCGGCGCACGGGUGAGUAACGCGUAUGCAAUCUGCCUGUAACAGGGGGAUAACCCGGAGAAAUCCGGCCUAAUACCCCAUAAGGAUGUCUGUCCGCAUGGGCGGUCAUCUAAAGGUUUUCCGGUUACAGAUGGGCAUGCGUUCCAUUAGCUGGUUGGCGGGGUAACGGCCCACCAAGGCGACGAUGGAUAGGGGUUCUGAGAGGAAGGUCCCCCACACUGGUACUGAGACACGGACCAGACUCCUACGGGAGGCAGCAGUGAGGAAUAUUGGUCAAUGGGCGUAAGCCUGAACCAGCCAAGUCGCGUGAAGGAAGACAGCCCUACGGGUCGUAAACUUCUUUUGUAUGGGAGUAAAAGAGUCCACGCGUGGGCUAUUGCAAGUACCAUACGAAUAAGCAUCGGCUAACUCCGUGCCAGCAGCCGCGGUAAUACGGAGGAUGCGAGCGUUAUCCGGAUUUAUUGGGUUUAAAGGGUGCGUAGGCGGCCCUAUAAGUCAGCGGUGAAAUGUUCCGGCUCAACCGGGAAACUGCCGUUGAAACUGUAGAGCUAGAGUCCACAAGAGGUAUGCGGAAUGCGUGGUGUAGCGGUGAAAUGCAUAGAUAUCACGCAGAACCCCGAUUGCGAAGGCAGCCUGCCAAGCCAUUACUGACGCUGAUGCACGAAAGCGUGGGGAUCAAACAGGAUUAGAUACCCUGGUAGUCCACGCAGUAAACGAUGAUCACUAGCUGUUUGCGAUACACUGUAAGCGGCACAGCGAAAGCGUUAAGUGAUCCACCUGGGGAGUACGCCGGCAACGGUGAAACUCAAAGGAAUUGACGGGGGCCCGCACAAGCGGAGGAACAUGUGGUUUAA